UACGGAGGGGGCAAGCGUUGUUCGGAAUUACUGGGCGUAAAGGGCUCGUAGGCGGCCAACUAAGUCAGACGUGAAAUCCCUCGGCUUAACCGGGGAACUGCGUCUGAUACUGGGAGGCUAGAGUGUGAUAGAGGAUGGUGGAAUUCCCGGUGUAGCGGUGAAAUGCGUAGAGAUCGGGAGGAACACCAGUGGCGAAGGCGGCCAUCUGGAUCAACACUGACGCUGAGGCACGAAAGCGUGGGGAGCAAACAGG
rnacentral:rRNA from 1 species